rnacentral:sRNA from 1 species
UAUCUCUCCGUACGGGGAAGGAUGAGAAGCUUCGACUAAGGUUCGAUUCGAGCGCAGCGAGAAAGCGUUGCCGCAGGCAACGACCCGAAGGGUGAGGAGUGGAGCGACGAAUAAUCCUUCCCCCACCACCA